UGGGGGAUAUUGCGCAAUGGGGGAAACCCUGACGCAGCAACGCCGCGUGAAGGAAGACGGUUUUCGGAUUGUAAACUUCUUUUGUUGGGGACGAAAACUGACGGUACCCAACGAAUAAGCUCCGGCUAACUACGUGCCAGCAGCCGCGGUAAUACGUAGGGAGCAAGCGUUGUCCGGAUUUACUGGGUGUAAAGGGUGCGUAGGCGGUAUGCCGGGUCAGAUGUGAAAUGUAUGGGCUCAACCCAUAACCUGCAUUUGAAACUUGCAUACUUGAGUGAAGUAGAGGUAGGCGGAAUUCCCUGUGUAGCGGUGAAAUGCGUAGAGAUAGGGAGGAACACCAGUGGCGAAGGCGGCCUACUGGGCUUUAACUGACGCUGAGGCACGAAAGCGUGGGUAGCAAACAGGAUUAGAUACCCUGGUAGU
rnacentral:rRNA from 1 species